UCCCAGUAUUAAUUGUGAUAACAUAGAUUGUCAGCAAUCUACACAGAUCGAAAUAAUUAAUCAAGACUGUGCUAGCGACACAGAUCAUGCAUUAAAUUCUAGUAAUUGGCAUGAUCAAAUAACAGAUAUUCGUAAAUAUGCAAGCUGCCCUGAUAUAUUCUCCCAAUGUAAAGAGUCAUUCGGUUUAUUAUUCAUUGUUCAUGAUGACUUAUUAGACCUGAAUAACCUCCAACAGCUGGUACCUUUAUCACAGACAAAAAGAACGAAACCAUCAAAGGAGCGAAAGAUGACAUUUUAUUGGACAACUAUGACUUGGUGGUGCUUAGGAAUGUAAACAAUACUUUAAGUUAUCCGUCCACAGUAAAUUUAUAUCAGCAACUGGAUACACAUGAAAUACCAAAAAAUUCAGAACCAUCAACUAAUUUUCACUCUCUUAAUGAUGAGCCAAGUAAUUUAUCUGGUUUAAAUAGUAAUUGUGAUGAGACAGACUGUCAGCAAUCUGGACAGUUUAGAAUAAUUGAUCAAGAGUGUGCUAACAGCGACACUGAUUAUGUAUUAACUUUCAGUAAUUGGUAUGACGAAAUAACAAAAAUCCGUAAAU